rnacentral:rRNA from 1 species
AUUGAACGCUGGCGGCAGGCCUAACACAUGCAAGUCGAACGGUAACAGGAAGAAGCUUGCUUCUUUGCUGACGAGUGGCGGACGGGUGAGUAAUGUCUGGGAAACUGCCUGAUGGAGGGGGAGAACUACUGGAAACGGUAGCUAAGACAGCAUAACGUCGCAAGACCAAAGAGGGGGACCUGCGGGCCUCUUGCCAUCGGAUGGGCCCAGAUGGGAUUAGCUAGUAGGUGGGGUAACGGCUCACCUAGGCGACGAUCCCUAGCUGGUCUGAGAGGAUGACCCGCCACCCUGGAUCUGAGACACGGUCCAGACUCCUACGGGAGGCAGCAGUGCGGAAUAUUGCACAAUGGGCGCAAGCCUGAUGCAGCCCUGCCGCGUGUAUGAAGACGGCCUUCGGGUUGUAAAGUACUUUCAGCGGGGAGGAAGUGAGUCACGUUAAUACCUUUGCUCAUUGACGUUACCCGCAGAAGAAGCACCGGCUAACUCCGUG